GGCCAGACUCCUACGGGAGGCAGCAGUGGGGAAUAUUGCACAAUGGGGGGAACCCUGAUGCAGCGACGCCGCGUGAGUGAAGAAGUAUUUCGGUAUGUAAAGCUCUAUCAGCAGGGACGAAGAUGACGGUACCUGCAGAAGAAGCCCCGGCUAACUACGUGCCAGCAGCCGCGGUAAUACGUAGGGGGCAAGCGUUAUCCGGAAUUACUGGGUGUAAAGGGAGCGCAGACGGCAGUGCAAGUCUGGAGUGAAAGCCCGUGGCUUAACCACGGGACUGCUCUGGAAACUGUGCAGCUAGAGUGCAGGAGAGGCAGGCGGAAUUCCUAGUGUAGCGGUGAAAUGCGUAGAUAUUAGGAGGAACACCGGUGGCGAAGGCGGCCUGCUGGACUGUAACUGACGUUGAGGCUCGAAAGCGUGGGGAGCAAACAGGAUUAGAUACCCUGGUAAU
rnacentral:rRNA from 1 species